rnacentral:lncRNA from 1 species
CUUGGCAUCUUUAUGAGAAGACCCCUAGUUUUUCCUUCCAAAAAAUUGCAGGCUAAAAAUAUGAAAUUACUGGAUCUACAUAGCUACUGAGGUUCCUUCCCAACUUUAAGAUUCAAAGAUUCAAAAAAUAAAUACACUGUAGCAUCAUUGUAAGGAUGGCAAGCCCUGAUUCAUGGCAUUCACCAGUUUCCCAAGUGGAAAUACUCUAAUUGAAAAUUUAGCAAUCAAUUUUCAAGUGGUUUGAACUGGUCCCAGCUCACCCCUCAGCAGGUGCCCACCACAUUGCAGCUGAGAAGAGGGUCACAGUCUCACAGGGAUCUGCUUUUGGAACAGAGCCCAUCAAACUAUUCUGCCUACAGAGUCCCCAUUGGCCAAAGAUAUCAGUAGGUAUUCCACCCAUGAAAAGAGCUUCAAGAUCAAGCCCAGAGUUUGUGACAUGAGGAAAUAUUUCACUGCUCUGGGCUAGAGACUCUCACAGUUGUUGGUUUAAAGACACGUUCCACAGUUUGCCAGAAACAUUUGUGCAGAAAAUGUCUAGAUGUACUUUUUUUUAAAAAGCCCACAAGCAACUGUGGGAACCAGCUUAUGAUGAAACUAAAAGUCACAUAAAACUCUUUUGGUUUAGAGUUUUUUAAUGAAUUAAAACCCAGAAAACUUCAGAGCCUCCCUUUUUUCUUCUGACUUAGUUUUUCACACUAAUACCUUCAAUAUGUGUUUAGUUUAAUCUACCCCUUGUAUUCCCAGUCUUGAAUUUGGGUACAUGGUACACCCAAGAAUUUGUUAAAACUUUACAACUCUCUUUAUGUAAAAUGUAUAUGAUGUUAAGAGAUUCAUUCCAUCAAUCUCUGAUUCAGAGCAUAUCAUCAUCAAACAGCACCACUAAUCAUUAGUUUUAUUAUAGGUAUAGGCAUAAAGACAUCAUUGUACAAACAUAUAAAGAGAACAUAUAUGCAUAAGGAGUUGUGUCAUUGAAUAAAUUCAAUUAAGACUUUAAAAUGGCUUAGUCU